GCAGCCGCCCGAGGCCCUGCUGGGCGGGUCGGGGUGGAAAGGAGUCUGGAGUCCGCAGAAGCCUCCUCCUUUCCUGGCUUCACCUGCUCCUCCUGGUGUCUCUCCGUGGAGUCGGCGGGGAGGAGCCGCGGAAGCCGGGGCAGCCGUGACUGCACCAGGAAGAACAGCUCAGGCGUGGGCACGUGGGCUGUGAGCCCAGCCGAGAUCGCUGCCAGCACAGAGGUCCAAUCCACCCCGCGUCAGGGCCUGGACCAUGGGCCUGAGGUGUGGGUGGGGGAGAUGCCAAGACCAGAAGGAGGGUGUCAACAGAGCAUCAGGAGGCACUGACCCCAGAGCCCCUCCACGUCCCCGGGAACGGCCGGCCCCCCGUCGCCGCCGAGGGCCCUCGGCCAGGAUGGACAGCCAGGGGAAGGCUGCUUGUCUCCACGCCUCUCCGACGGCUCUUCUUCCGGCCCCUCCAGCCCAGGUGGAAUCCUUGAAGCUGGAGUCAGGACUGCCGGGCUUGCGGAGACGUGGGCUCCCCAGGAAGUGCUGAGCCCAUGAUCAGAGCUGCACCCCCACAAGAAGUCACCAUGUGGAUCCCCAGAGGGGAUACUCCGGAAGUGCUUCCAUUCGGCCACCAGCAGCUGUGAUGUCCCCUGACCGUGCAUCCUGGGUCCCAGGGGAUGGUGGGUAGGGGAGCCAGGCGAGGAAGUGAGUCACAGCCCUGUGGGGUGAGCUCCCCGAGGGGAAGGGAUUGCGUAGAGUACUUGGGGGAAUUUGUGAGCCUUCAAGCUGGCCUCUGCUGCGACAGGGGCCAGCAGCCUCGUCCGCUCUGUAGUCCACUCCGGCUGCUCCCUGUAGCCAGGGGUGCGGCAUGGCAGGAACAGGCCACAGGGCAAGGGAGGAGUGUGGUGGGCUCAGAAGGCUCUGGGGAGAGGGUGCCUUGCUCCUGGUGCUGAAAGGACAGCGCCCGGCUUGGGCAGAGGCCGCGCCAAGUCCUGGCGGAAGCUUUUCCGCAAACUGGAGUGGGGCGUCAUGUGCAUCUGAAUUUUUCCACUCCUCUUCUCUGGAGCCUGUCAGUGCCGUCUUGGCAAAGAUGGUUUGAGCCUGAAAGCUUUUCCCAUCUAUUUUUAAAUAAAUGGAAUUCCUGUCACUUGCAUGAAAUUCACCCCAA
rnacentral:lncRNA from 1 species